AUUUCCAACGUGUAGUGGUCAUCAUGUCUGCUUUACAGGCAGAAAGUCCUUGGUUCAAUCCCCAGUGGAACCA
rnacentral:tRNA from 1 species